rnacentral:lncRNA from 1 species
ACAGAAGUUCAUCGUCCCGGCCAUGGUGCUUGGGCAGGAGUUAUGGCCACCAUGUCUUGGUCCAUGCAUGUAUGUGAUGGGCAUGAGCGCCGUGGCAAGACAAAUGGGGACGGGACACCAAGGUAGACGAGCGCGCGGCCUGGUUGCAGUACGCGGUAGCAAGGUCAGCUAGAGCAUGGUGGCGGUCGUGGCGAGGUCAAGGAGCGGCAGAGACGUUGCAAAAGGGCCUGGCGGCGUUCUACUGGUCGCCUCAAC